AUAUGAAAUUAUUUGGGUUGGGCCUGAAGCCCAAUAAAAUGGAGAACGUGUUUAAAAAGAGGCCCAUCUGCAGGGUGAGUUGGCCGAGUUCUACGGAAGGGCUCAUUUGUAAUUUUAUAUGUUAUGCAAAAUACAAUUAGGGUUUUAGUUCAUCUUCUUCGCAGCCUAUAAAAUGCCGCCCCCAACCUCACAGUUCUUCGUACUCUUCGCGUAGUGAACUUUCCAUCUCUAUAUUUUUAGCGUUUUAGAGCAAGGGCGUCUUUGAUUAUAAUGGCGUGAAUUGCAUUGAAGGUUGGCAAUACUAACGUUUAGCGAUUCUCCGUGCCUGGCAAAUCUUUUGGUUUUGAUCAUGGCCUCGAACAAGUCGCUACAUUCAUUCAAUCUCCUAAUCUUCUUCUGUUUCUUUUCCUGACCUUUUUUAUGAGCUAGAUUUUUUUUAGUAAAGAAUUUUGUCGAUUUUUGUUUUAACGAAACCUUUUACUCCUCGCUGCUUUCAUUCAAAAGCUUUUGAAAUGAGACCUGGAAGAUUGAAUCUGAAUUCAUACAGUUGUGGAUCUAAUCUCAUACGUUAUCAUGAUCUCUGGUAAAACUCAUCCGUGAGGAUGUUCUUGUUAUA